AUUGAACGCUGGCGGCAGGCCUAACACAUGCAAGUCGAGCGGAUGAAGGGAGCUUGCUCCUGGAUUCAGCGGCGGACGGGUGAGUAAUGCCUAGGAAUCUGCCUGGUAGUGGGGGAUAACGUCCGGAAACGGGCGCUAAUACCGCAUACGUCCUGAGGGAGAAAGUGGGGGAUCUUCGGACCUCACGCUAUCAGAUGAGCCUAGGUCGGAUUAGCUAGUUGGUGGGGUAAAGGCCUACCAAGGCGACGAUCCGUGACUGGUCUGAGAGGAUGAUCAGUCACACUGGAACUGAGACACGGUCCAGACUCCUACGGGAGGCAGCAGUGGGGAAUAUUGGACAAUGGGCGAAAGCCUGAUCCAGCCAUGCCGCGUGUGUGAAGAAGGUCUUCGGAUUGUAAAGCACUUUAAGUUGGGAGGAAGGACAGUAAGUUAAUACCUUGCUGUUUUGACGUUACCAACAGAAUAAGCACCGGCUAACUUCGUG
rnacentral:rRNA from 1 species